CGGGCACCAAGUGGCGCUUUGUUACCGGAUUGCGGGCCACGUUAAACAAGCCGCUAAAGAGGUCAGAAUAGGGCGUCC
rnacentral:ncRNA from 2 species